GAUGAACGCUAGCUACAGGCUUAACACAUGCAAGUCGCGGGGCAGCAUGGGGGUUGCUUGCAAUCCCCGAUGGCGACCGGCGCACGGGUGAGUAACGCGUAUCCAACCUGCCCUUCACCACGGGAUAACCCGGCGAAAGUCGGACUAAUACCGUAUGUUGUCCAUUGACGGCAUCCGAUUUGGACGAAAGGUUUGGCGGUGAAGGAUGGGGAUGCGUCCGAUUAGCUGGACGGCGGGGUGACGGCCCACCGUGGCGACGAUCGGUAGGGGUUCUGAGAGGAAGGUCCCCCACACUGGAACUGAGACACGGUCCAGACUCCUACGGGAGGCAGCAUUGAGGAAUAUUGGUCAAUGGGCGUAAGCCUGAACCAGCCAAGUAGCGUGCAGGAUGACGGCCCUAUGGGUUGUAAACUGCUUUUAUGCGGGGAUAAAGUGGCCCACGUGUGGGUUUUUGCAGGUACCGCAUGAAUAAGGACCGGCUAAUUCCGUG
rnacentral:rRNA from 1 species